CAUCUACUCCCUCCGUUUCGAAUUAUUUGUCUCAUGUAUAGAUGUAUCUAGAUGUAUUGUAAUUCUAGGUACAUCCAUUUCAACGACGAGUAAUUUGAAACGGAGGGAGUAGAAU
rfam:Triticum aestivum genome assembly, contig: Triticum_aestivum_CS42_TGACv1_scaffold_132131_2BL